AAAGAUAAAAAUCACAUAACAAAAACACAAACAAGAAUUACUUUGAAGAUGACCAAAGUUCUAUUGUUAUGGUCCUGUUUCCAGUGGUCAGAUGAAAACUCAGACAACCAGAAAGGACAUGAAGGGUACCCCCUGUUGCACAGAAGCUUGGCAGGUCAGAAUGCACCUUCACCCCCGCCUUGUUGACGCGCUGUUGUUGCAAGAAGCUUUUGCAUCUCUCGGGCUGGCGCUGCCUGCAGCUUCUCGGCAACACAGCUGCUUCAGGAACACCUGUGAAAGCUCCUUGACUGCUGCUGACCUAGAAAAACCACAGAGGAGCUGGGGAAAAGUCAGAGUUCAGGUAAGCAGCAACAUCAAGUGGAGUGACCAUUUUCACUGCCGGUUUACAAGACUACAAGAAGAGCGUUUGGUGGGCUCACGGAAGACAAAAUCACCAUGUUUUUUUUGUGCUAAUUCUCACUUCCAGAAAACCUAUUUAGAGACAUAUGGCAAUUUAAGAAAGCAGGAAACCACAGAACCUGACAUUCUUGGAGCAACAAAUAAGAGCUCCUUAAAAGUUAACAAGGCACAGACGUGUGUGGAUCCUGUCACGUGAAGUUAGCAGUACUUCGUGAUUUGGCUCUGCCGGAUAGUAAUACGCCAGAAUGGAGCCAACGUGGAGCUUAGUCUCGUCUACAGUUCCCUGUUCAGAGAAUCGAAAACAGCCACAGUGUAAUCUAGUUCGGGAAUAUUUCUAAUGGACCAUUUGAAUGGAUUGGUGGUUAGUUUUUGUCUCUUGACUAAGACAUGAGACUGAUAAAGAUUUGGAAAAUGCAAUCAUCCCCAAGACCACAUGUCAAAGGCUGCAUUCAGAAAUAACUAUGUUGUGAUAUGUGUUCAUUAUUUCAGUUCAUUAAAAUUUUUCUAGCUGGGGAUGGUGAGAUGGUUCAUGGGUAAAGGUGACUGUCAUCAAACCUGAGGUCUGAGUUUUAUCCCAGGAUGCACUUGGGAGAAAAAGAGAACCGACUCCCAUGAGUCUCUGACCUCUGACCUCCACAAGCUCACUGUGUGGCGACCAGGCCCAAAUACCUCUCAAACAAAAUAAAUAAAUGUCUUUAAAAAUAGUUGACAGCUAUUUCUUCAUUGUACACAUUGAAAGCAUCCCUUUCAAUUAUAAUUUCUUUUCCAUUUUUAUUUUCUUGGUUAUAUGGCCUCUCUACUAGACGGAACAAACAAAACAAAGAAUUAUGUUUUUGUAACUUAGUUUCUAGUGCUGAACCUUAUACUAGUAAAUAUUCAUUCAUAAACUGAACAUGCAUAGUAGUUAUGCUUCCUUUAAAUGGGGAACUAUUAGACUUCUAUUUUUCAGCAUGAGAAACCAUUUUUCAUGUAUAUUAC